GACGAACGCUGGCGGCGUGCUUAACACAUGCAAGUCGAACGACGUGGCGCACGGGUGUGUAAUACGUGUGUAACCUUCCCUCCUUUUUGGGAUAAGCUUUGGAAACGGGGUCUAAUUCCGGCUAUAGGGGGAUGGGCUCGCGGCCUAUCAGCUUGUUGGUGGGGUGAUAGCCUACCAAGGCGGUGACGGGUAGCCGGCCUGAGAGGGUGAACGGCAACAUUGGGACUGGGAUACGGCCCAGGCUCCUAAGGGGGGCAGCAGUGGGGGAUAUUGGCGAAUGGGCGAAGGACUGAUGCAGCGACGCCGCGUGGGGGAUUAAGGCUUUCGGGUUGUAAACCUGUGGAGGUAGCGAACGGGUAGGUGGAGAAGAAGCGCCGGCUAACUACGUGCCAGCAGCCGCGGUAAUUC
rnacentral:rRNA from 1 species